GUAGGUGAACCUGCGGAAGGAUCAUUAACGAAUCACAAAGUGGGGGGGGGGAUGGUUGUGAUGACUCAAAAGGUCAUCAUGCCCCCCUUCCCAUAUUAACCCGAGCCCGAGCAGCAAUGCCGGGCAAGGUGUGUGAGUGUGGAACUGGAAAGGGGAACCUGGAAAGAGCCCUCUCACGCGGUGAAGAUCAAUCAACGAUCGGAUCCACAUAGACGCUUGUAUGUUUGACAGAGUUAGUUGACACUUAAAA
rnacentral:misc_RNA from 1 species